rnacentral:lncRNA from 1 species
CCGCAAAUUUCCUCAAAGGAAAAAGAAUUUCCUCAAAGGAAAUAGAAUUUCCUCAAAGGAAAUAGAAUUUCCUCAAAGGAAAUAUUUAUGCAGCAAAUUCCCUAAGGGAAAUCUUUUUCCCUUGAGGAAAAAACAAUUUCCCUUGAGGAAAAAUCUUUUUCCUUUAGGGAAAUUUGAUUUCCCUUGAGGAAAACUACUUUUCCUCUGAGGAAAUUGUUGAAAAAAGGGGCAUAACUUUUUCAACAGUGGUGCUAGAGCCAAAAAAUUUUAGGACAAAUAUCAGGGAACCAAUACCAACC